GAAAUGCGAUACGUAAUGUGAAUUGCAGAAUUCAGUGAAUCAUCGAAUCUUUGAACGCACCUUGCGCCCCUUGGUAUUCCGAGGGGCACACCCGUUUGAGUGUCGUGAACACACCCUCAACCUUCUUUUGGUUUUCUUGACCGGAGGAAGGCUUGGACUUUGGAGGCCUUUCAUUGCUGGUAUCCUUUCGGAGCCAGCUCCUCCUAAAUGAAUUAGUGGGAUUCGCUUUGGUGAUCCUCGACGUGAUAAGCAUUAUUCUACGUCUCGGGUUUUCGAAGUGCCUUGCUUCUAACCGUCUUUAAACAAAGACAAUGACCACAAAACCUUGACCUCAAAUCGGGUGAGACUACCCGCUGAACUUAA
rnacentral:misc_RNA from 1 species